rnacentral:lncRNA from 1 species
UUUGCCUCGGGAGAGAGACAGUGCGUGUCAUGCGCCCCUCAAUCCGCUUACGAAAAGCACAACAUCAGUGUUUCGUGGAACUUUCUUAUGAAACUGACGUGUUAUUAUUUUGUCACGCAACAUGAGACUCUGAUGAACUUGUAUUAUAAAGAUAAGAGGUUUCCCAGCGUCCUCUAGCAUUAUAAAAGAGACUGAUAAGUCCGUAGAACCCAAAGCUCUGAUGGUACUGCUAGAAAAACUAUUUUGCUCUUUCGUUUUAUUGUGUUUGUCAAAUACCUGUCAAGGGUGGUACGUCAGUUGUAGAGAGCUAAGAACACCGUAAAAAAUGGGAAAUUCUGAAAGCAAUGCGGGUCAGAAAUCAUGGAACGGAAGCAGCUAUUCAAACAAAGAUCCAGAAGGUACCCAUACGGCCACGUGCAUUGCUGGAAGUAGCGGCUGGGUGAAAAGUUCGUAUGAAGAAAACUGUCCUGGAUGUAGAGGGCAAAGGGCAAUGUCUGCAUGGGACCAAAAUUCCUCUGGAAAUCCUGGGUAUUGAUAUUCUCGAUGUGCUAAAUGCGGGCAAAAAGUAGACGCGAUAGGAUCAUGAGUUCCAUUUUAUGAAUACAUCACAGUUUGGACAUAGAUGAACGUGGUAUUCCUAGGUAGGAAAGGAUAACUGAUUUUACGAUUAAUUUGUUGUCUACCAGUAUGCUGUUUUGAUGUUGACAAAAUUUGUAGCUUGAAAAUUCAGUAGGGUCUUUGUGGCUCAUACACGUGGGUAUAAACAUUUAAAUGAAGAUACAUGAGAAUUAUGUUUUGUUUGUAAGGAACUGAAUUUGCGGAUCGUGAUAAAAGCUUUGGAAAUGAAAUAUAGCCGAUUAAUUAUUAUUUGACAUUUUGCCUGUAAAAACAUAUCACAUUGUAAAAUUAACAGGUAGCCGGCUUUUCGAUCACAAUGAGGCAAUAAAAACCGGGUUACCUUCGUGGCCUCAAACAUGAAAUUCUCAUUUUUUGUAUGACGUAUUGAAAAAGUCCGAAUAAUAUCGCCAAACAUUCUUGUUACGUUGAAAAUUGUACAGUUAUAAAAUAAGUGCUGAAAUGAAUGUAAGAAAAAUACUAUUAAGUUUGUACUUUUAAAUGAUGAUUCUGUGUUUAACAUACAUGUGCCCAAAGAGUGGCAAAAUGGGAAACCAUUAUUUCUAACCAGUAUCAAUUUUGCGUGUCGACAGGUUUUCUCUUUAAUCGCAAGUUGCUUUUAUUGUAAAUAAAAAUUAUUUCUAUUUAUUAUCUGGGAUAUACUUUCCGACUUUCAAGUUUCUAUUUAUGUUCUGAAAUGGAAACCAAUGUGAAUAUUCCUGAAGAAAAUGGAUUAUUACUAAUCGUAACUGUAAGAUAAUGGUGCUAAACUCGAAGUGAGAGAUCCAGUUAAGACUGACAUAAACACUCAUACAUAUUCAAAAUUCAUACUCAUAUUAAAUCUUGACAAAUCAUUUUCAUACUAUUCAUCUAAAUGCACAAUGCUGGGGGUCUUGAAGAGUUUGAACAUUUUCAUUUAAACUUUACCCUGCUAAAUUUCUAAAAUGGACUGGUCCAUCAUUCAAUUUAGGCAGUACCACUUAUUAUUUAAAGGGUGUUCACUGACAAUUUACUUACUGAAUAGUGACCAGUGCAAACCUUGAUCAGCCUGUAUGGAUGUGCAGGCUAAUCUUGGUCUGAUCUUGGUCUGCAUUGGUCGCAAAGGCAGAAACACUUGCCGCCAGCAGGCUAAAGGUUAAAUUACCUCUCAUUACCUCUCAUGAUUCGACCAGUAUACCAUGGUCUUUGUUUCCUAAUUAUGGCCAAAAAAUUUAAUUUGUUUAUAUUAUGUAGUGUGCAAAGUGGAUUGGAAGAACUUUUGUUGCUACAUUUUGUUUGUCUCAUUUAUUUCUGUCAUGUUAUCUAAAGGAAUUAUUUAUAUUUUGCAACUGUUUUGUGACUGAUAAUUGUUUAAUGGUGUAAUCAGAAUUAUUGAUACAUGCAAAUGAUUGUUAUUAAUUAAAUUAAUUAUGAAACAG